rnacentral:rRNA from 1 species
UGUCGUCAGCUCGUGUUGUGAAAUGUUGGGUUAAGUCCCGCAACGAGCGCAACCCUUAUCCUUUGUUGCCAGCGAUUAGGUCGGGAACUCAAAGGAGACUGCCAGUGAUAAACUGGAGGAAGGUGGGGAUGACGUCAAGUCAUCAUGGCCCUUACGACCAGGGCUACACACGUGCUACAAUGGCGCAUACAAAGAGAAGCGACCUCGCGAGAGCAAGCGGACCUCAUAAAGUGCGUCGUAGUCCGGAUUGGAGUCUGCAACUCGACUCCAUGAAGUCGGAAUCGCUAGUA